AUGCACAUGCAUCUCCUAUGCCCAUGCCUCAGCACGAAUCCCAGCCACUUCUGCACUCUGAUCCUAUACACUAUCCCAAGUGCCCCCAUCAUCACCUCUGCACUUUUCCCACACUCCAACUCCCAUCUCCUCAGGACCUCAGGGUUCUCAUUAACCCUUUCACCCUCACACACAGCCUCAAGUGACCCCAGCAUUAACCCCUUCCCUUCUCCCCAACAUCACCCCUCAUGCAUACCCAGCCUGGGCUCUUCCAUCCCACCCUCCCAAGAUUUCUCUAGUCUGCGGCCAAAAACGAUGGAUGGGGCUCCUGGUCCAGAAAUGAGGACCCUGGGGAGGCCGUGUGUGUGUGUAGGGGGGUGGGUGCUGUCCUCUCCACCUAUAAAUACCUUCAAGGUAACGCGGAAAGUGAAGGGCAGGAAUGAGGCGCCCUCCCCAGGGAGAUGGUGGGGAGACCGGGCCCAGGCAACCGGGGCGGGGCCCGGGCUCCAGGCCUGGCUGCAGGCGCUGCCCUCGGGGGCCUGGGGGCUCCCAGGGGGCCAGUCCUUGGCCUGGCAGUCGUGGCGGGGGUCCCUGCCCAGGCCCAGAGGAAGCACCUGCGGGUGCCCACCCGGUGGGCACUGCCCGCAGGGAACAGGCGGGACCGCAACUUCGGAGCACUUUGGCAGCGUGGGAAGGGGCCUCCCGCCUGGACGCCCCCCGGGGGUCGCAGGGGAGGGGGCGGCGCCGCGCCAGCGCACCCCUCGUUGGGCCAGGGUCCGGGAGACGCUCCCUCCGCCCGUGCACUUCGGGGCAGGAGACCCCGUGGGACGCGCGGAGGUGGGGGGACACCUGCCCCAAGACCCCCGCUCCUCCCCGCCACCGGAACGGCCCCGCCCCCGACCAGGCCCCGCCCCUGCAGGCCCCGCCCCCGCCCCCCGCCCCGGGGGGUCCCGCCUGGCCCGGCCCGGCCCCGGCCUCCCCCUCCCCGUGCCGGCUCCGCCCCGCCCGCGGGCUCCCCAGGCCGGGCCGGGCCUCACCGGGGAGGCGGUGCCGCCGGCCAGGCGCCGGGGUUCGAAGCUCCCCUCCUCGGUGCGGCCGUCGCUGCCGCUACCGCCGUUGCCGCUCCCGGUGCCGGUGCCGCGGCCUCCGCAGCCGCCGCCGCCUCCACCGCUCGGGGGACAUUGUCCCUUUAAAUCGCUCCCCCCGCCGCCCCGCCCCCCCGGCGCGCCGCCGUGA
rnacentral:lncRNA from 1 species